UUUAGUUAGUGGGUUUCGGGAGCGCAGAGUCACUCGGUCUCUUAUCUCGCCUGUUGUUAGAUCGCACUCGUGCAUUUACCUGUCUCUCCCCUGUUUUUUUUUUUUUUUUCUUCCCCUUUCUCUCCGCGGAUACACGUUUAAAGUAAAAACAAAAAAAAACAACGUUUAUGGUCCUGGCUGAAGAUUUCACCAUGUCUCGCACAGACGAGGUUCACCGUUUGACGGAAAAUGUCUACAAGACCAUUAUGGAGCAGUUCAAUCCCUGCUUACGGAACUUUGUUGCCAUGGGGAAGAACUAUGAGAAGGCCCUUGCCAAUGUGACAUUUGCUGCCAAAGGCUACUUUGAUGCUCUGGUCAGAAUGGGUGAACUGGCCAGUGAGAGUCAAGGAUCCAAAGACUUGGGGGAUGUGCUGUUCCAGAUGGCAGAGGUCCACAGACAGAUCCAAGUGCAGCUAGAGGAGAUGCUGAAAUCCUUCCACAAUGAGCUCCUGUCCGAGCUCGAGAAGAAGGUGGACCUGGAUGCUCGUUAUUUGACUGCUGCCCUGAAGAAAUACCAGAUGGAACACAAGAGCAAAGGGGAGAGUCUGGAGAAGUGCCAAGCUGAACUAAAGAAGCUGCGCAGAAAGAGCCAGGGCAGCAAGAACCCCUCCAAGUAUGGAGAAAAAGAGAUACAGUAUGUGGAGACGAUCAGCAGCAAGCAGACUGAGUUGGACACCUUCAUUGCUGAUGGCUACAAGACGGCCUUGUCUGAGGAGCGCCGCAGGUACUGCUUCCUAGUCGACCGUCAGUGUGCUGUGGCUAAGAACAGCAGUGCCUACCAUGGCAAGGGUAAAGACCUUCUGACCCAGAAGAUCCCAGUGUGGCAACAGGCCUGCUCAGACCCAAACAAGCUGCCGGAGAGGGCCAUGCUCCUGGCCCAGCAGAUGGGCUCUGCUGCCCUUGGGGGUGCAAGUCCUCUGCAUACCUCCAAAUCCAAUCUGGUCAUUUCAGACCCCAUUCCUGGGGCACAGCCACUUCCUGUGCCCCCAGAGUUGGCUGUCUUUAUGGGUAGUGGCCUUGGACACCCAGCGAGACUGAUGGGUCCCGAUGGCAUGUCCAUGGUUAAUGGGACAACAGGAGUCCAAGGAGAGGAAUACUGGGCAGACGAAGCAGCAAUGUCUAUUUCCCAAGUUAGGCCUUCAUCCCCUUCAACCCAGGCACAGGUACAGUCCCAGGUCCAGCCCCAGAGACAGGUCAGCGACGUCUACUCCAAUACCCUACCUGUCCGCAGGCCUGCCCCCGCCAAGAAUAAAAACCCAGUGGGAGAGACACGAACUCUGCCUAGAUCCAGUUCGAUGGCAGCAGGACUGGAAAAGAACGGGCGCUCCCGUGUCCAGGCCAUCUUUUCCCACGCUGCUGGUGAUAACAGCACCCUGCUUAGUUUCUCCGAGGGAGAUGUCAUCACCCUGCUAGUGCCUGAAGCGCGUGAUGGCUGGCACUAUGGGGAGAAUGAGAAAAACAAGAUGCGUGGCUGGUUCCCGUUCUCCUACACACGCGUGCUUCCUGACAGUGACAGUGAGAAGCUCAGAGUGAACCUGCACCAUGGGAAAAGUAGCAGUACAGGCAACUUGUUGGAGAAUGAUGCAUCAGUGCCCACACCGGACUACGGCCUGACUGCCCGACUGCUGGCACAAAGCCUAGCACAGCCCCGCCCACGCCCCUACAGCAUGGCAGGCUUUGGCACACAGCCUGCUAUUGAGGAUUAUGAUGGUCGCUUUGCCACAAGUGACAGUCCUGAUGGCAAAUUGAUUUCGACUGUGUGAGAACAGACAUAAAGACAGAAACAGACAGCUCCGGAUAGCACAGGGGCCUCUUCCCCCCCUCCCCCCAUCUUUCCCUCUUCUUAGCCUCCCUCCUGUCCAAUUAUCCCCACCUCUUCUCCUCUGCCUCCACACACACCCCUUCUCCGAAUGGAAGAGGCCAGUUUCAUCCCUCCUUUCUGUCCUCUCUUCCUCCCCGGGUCCCUCCUUUCCUCCUUCCGUCCGUCCUGGGGUGCUGCUGCUGGUGGUGUCGGUGUGGACAGUAGCGGUUGGUGGGUGGAGGAUUGCGUUGAGCGAGAGAGCCAGAGCGGGGCCUACCUGCUCGGCAUGCAGCGAUAUGGACUCUGAAUUCGCUAUCACAGUCCACCAUCACGGACUGAUCUCACAAGAGACUGCCUUUGCUACUGCUUAUCUUUCAUGCAUGUACAUGGUUGUGUCAUUUUGUCAAACUAAAGGACAUUCAUGUACUGUACAAGUGCCAAAAGACUUCAAUGUCGAUGUACUAAAGCCACUGACUGAAUGGCCUUUUUAAGCACAAGUGGGCCCAGUAUUAUUGAUUUCCCACCAAACACAUACACGCUCAAAAAGCUUUGUUCAAAGUAAGGCUGCGUGGCAGAUUACUCUGUUUCCAUUCUGAGAGUUCCCCUAGGUCCUGCUGUGCUUCCUCGUGUCAGUGCUAGACUUUAUUUUCCGUCCAGAGGGUGUGUCAUAUAUGCCUUACUUUGCUUUUUUUUCUAUUUAAUACAGACUUUAUGUGCAAUGAAGCAUUUUUUUUAAUUGAGCUUCAAUGAUAUACAUUAUAUAAAGCUAAAUAUAAAUUGUUUCUGUCCGUCCACUAAAUUGCACUGUAUUUUUGGUCAUCACAUGGUAUAGUAAAAAAAUAAAUAAAUAAAGCAAAUUAAAUUAAAAUUUCCACUUUUGUCAACACAAACCCUCUUUUUGCCAUCAUUUCCUGAACCUACUGCCACAGUUAUUACUUAAAUAAAAUGCGUCACUCCUUUAACUUUCAGUUUUUUCUUCUUUUUUGUUCUUUCCUUUUCCCACCACUCUUUUUUUCUAAUCCUGAAGGUACAGUUAGCUUGGAAGGGUCCAUGAUCUUCUGUUGAGUAUCCCCAAUAACAGCUGUGAAUUAGUUUUAGGUUAAAUAAUAACCACAGCUUCUGCAGCUUUCAGUGUUUAUGAUUGUAUUCCCUGAGUGGCUAUGUAGUUUUUUGUUUUGUUUUUUUGGUCUUUUCUUUAAAAGAAAUAUAUUGUCCUUGUAAAAAUAAAAUAAAAUAAAUGAUAAUUAUUAUUAUUAUUAUUAUUAUUAUUACAUUAAAAAUUAACAUAUUUCCAGAAACAAUGAAAACCUGCUGAUUAGUUGAAGUGUUUAUCUUAUGCAUGCUGUGGAGGGAAACCAGAAAAUGUAAUAUUGAGAUUUGACCUUGAAUGUAUGGUGAAUUUUUACAAAGGUAUUCUAAAUAAAACAUACAUCUAUAUAUUAAUAAACAGUGUGGUCUGACGAGAAAUCUGUUCUGUCGAUGAUAAUUUCCUUGUUCGACUCAGAACUGAUCAUUUUUCUUUUUCCCCCUUAAAACUAACACCUACCUGUGACUCAUUUCAAGCCACAACUCUGUUCUGUGCAUGCAGUUUCAUCCUUACUCACUUCCCCAAGCACCUGUAACAUCUGUGCUGCUCUCGAUAGCCUGUCGGUGUGUGAGGUGGUGUUGUGUGCACUUUGAUCUGAGCUCUACCUGCCUGCUUUCCUUCUUAUUUGGCCUUCUCUUUGGUUGUUUUUUAAAUAUGAUUUUGACUUACUUGUGCUUGAGUUGUAUUUGGGUUAUAUAAACAGCAAUGCACACAUUUUUAGCAGACGUCCGGUUGAUUUUAUUUCGGUUACUGUCAGAUUUGUUCCCAGUGAGCUUUGCAAUUUGAAAGGAUUGUAGAGUGCUGUGUACAGUAUGGCAUGUUGAGCAUGAAGUGCGUACCUCUGUUUUGCAUCCCCCAUUUCAGUCGUGUACUGUUAUCAGUUUCAGUAUGUAUGCCUUGCACCAGACUAACCAGUGUCCCUACAAAAUGUGACCCAUGCAUGAUCUGAGAGAUGAGCCAUUCAAAUCCAAAAGUUCUUUUUACCUUCCAGUUUGGGUCCAGAAUUAUCCCGGUUCUGAGGGAACAGGACCUCCUGACCGUUCCCUGGAGGUCUACCUCCGGCCUUCCUUCUCUGAUGACCGAGCUGCACCCAUCUUCUACUAGCGGCCUGCUGCCCCCUUAUUACCCUCGCGGGCCUUUCCUUUUUAAAAAGCAAGAGAAAAUGGCCAACACUGGCAGGUUUCAGUUGUGUAACGUUAUCGCAAGAGGGUCCAGUGGCUGUGGAAAUUCACUUAAAGAAUUUCCCAUCAAUGUUUUUUGCGAAUGCUUUCACGAAACAUUGAAUGUUUUAGUCAGAACAGUGUGACAGUUAGAUUUAAUUAUUUAGAUCAUACCAAUUGUGAAUAAGGUAUUGCUAAUAAGUUUUACUAGUGAUGCCAAUACAUUAAUAUUUAUCUGUACUUCUGUUAUGCUGUUUUUUUUUUUGUUUCUGCAACACUUUACACUGUAACUUUCACUGGAAGAUUAUUUGAAUUAAGUAUCAGUGAAGGAGCACACUGCAAUAGUUGCUUACGUGAGAACUGAGAAAACGAGAAAGAGAUGGUUGUAAACAGUUUACCACGCAUUGCUGUAAUGUGAACUGAGUAAUUUGAAUACUCAGAUUGAUGGUUGAACCCUGACAGGCGAUGAGUAAACUAUAAUUUUGCUUUUGUUAGGUAAUAAUAUAGAAUUAUAUAUUGACUAGUUGUGAUACAGUAUACCCAGAUUUUCAAUGUGGGAACUGUGCCUUCUAGGUGUUCUUUUUUUUUCUUUCUUUAUAUGCAUAUGGUGAUAUCCCUUUUGUUCUGUAAAGUGGUUCGAGGGAAUAUGCAUCACAGUUCUAUUUGUAUUUUUAUAUUACUGAAAAGUUGAUGGGAUUAUUUCACUUUCUUUGGCUUGAGCAAGCUUUCGUACAGUGCAGGCGCAAUUCCACAGGUAUAACACGGGAAUAAACUGCUACUCUUUCCUUAUGUUCAAAUUUCAGUAAUAUCUAAGCUGCCAGAUUGCCAGGAAAUGAAAUGCAGUGCAUACAGGAGUUUUUUUUAAAAAUAUAUAUAUAAAUACAUAUAUAUAUAUCCAGCUUUGAGGGGGUGGUAGCUUAUCAGAUAAGGUACAGUAUUAUCAUAGCUUUGAUCAUUUGUUCUCAGUAUUUUACAGUACACUCACCUGGGACACAAGAUUAGAGGCAUGUUUUUCUUUUUUACAAUAUGAUGUACGGGGUUAGUGCUGAAAGUGUGGUUAAAAAGUAAGAAUGUGUUGUGUGAAUGAGCUGAAAUGCCUCUUAGACUCCAGGAAAUAAACUGUUACAUCACAAAAACUUUCUUUUGUGGAUAAGUUGUUUCCACUGAGAAAUAUGGUCAUGCUUUUACUACAUAGCUCAUUUAAGAAUCAAGUUUCAAAUGCAUUUUUUUUAACUUUUAUAUAGCUCUCCCCUCGUCCAUGUCUCUCUGUUUGUAUUAUAUCUGUACUUUGCAGACCAUGCAUGUAAAUUAACUUGUCCAAAAUAAAUCCAUAUGGGCACAGACUUCAUA